GCCACUGUUUUAGGCUAAUCGGAUAGGGCGUCCGCCUGCGAAGCGGGGGGUUGCAGGUUCAGAUCCUGCUUCGGUUGCC